rnacentral:rRNA from 1 species
CUAGGGGAGGCAGCAGUAGGGAAUAUUGGGCAAUGGGCGGAAGCCUGAACCAGCCAAGUAGCGUGCAGGAUGACGGCCCUAUGGGUUGUAAACUGCUUUUAUACAGGAAUAAAGUUAGCCACGUGUGGUUAUUUGUAGGUACUGUAUGAAUAAGGACCGGCUAAUUCCGUGCCAGCAGCCGCGGUAAU